UACGUAGGGUGCAAGCGUUAAUCGGAAUUACUGGGCGUAAAGCGUGCGCAGGCGGUUGUGCAAGACAGAUGUGAAAUCCCCGGGCUCAACCUGGGAAUGGCAUUGGGACUGCAAGGCUGGAGUUUGGCAGAGGAGACUGGAAUUCCUGGUGUAGCAGUGAAAUGCGUAGAUAUCAGGAGGAAUACCGAUGGCGAAGGCAGGUCUCUGGGCUAUAACUGACGCUCAUGCACGAAGCGUGGGGAGCAACAGG
rnacentral:rRNA from 1 species